GGGGAUUUAGCUCAGUGGUAGAGCGCUUGCCUAGGAAGCGUAAGGCCCUGGGUUCAGUCCCCAGCUCCG
rfam:Rattus norvegicus chromosome 20, whole genome shotgun sequence.